ACCUGGCUGGCUCAGUCGGUAGAGCAUGGGACUUUUAAUCUCAGGGUUGGGAGUUCAAACCCCAUGUUGAGCA
rnacentral:tRNA from 1 species